UAGAAAGAAACCUACUGAAAGGGAUCACUGCUGAUGAAAAUACUGCUGCACAUGAUUUUGCCACUCUUGGUGUUGUCAAUGUCAGAUACUGUGGGUAUAUAGUUGUGGUUAAACUUGAAGGGAAAGAAAGUAGCAAAAUGGAUACUCAUUUUCAAAGCAUUGAACUUCUUGAUCAGCCUGAAGGUGGUGCCAAUGCCCUUAAUAUUAACAGUUGAGGAAAUCUUACCAUUGGGUGGAUUAUUGGAUUGCGUUGACAAUUGAGAAUUGCUUGGCGCCUUAGGAACUCAUUAUUCAUGGAUCUAGCCAAGGUUUUAUUUUGUUUAUUUAUUUAUUUUGUAGAGAAUGAGGAAAUUAUGUUAGUCCAAAAAGAAUUUGUAAUAUUUCUUUUUCUUUUGUUUGAAAU